rnacentral:rRNA from 1 species
GGGUUAGUAGGUUGGUCAUGCCUCUGGUAUGUACUGGUCUCACUGAUUCCUCCUUCCUGAUGAACCGUAAUGCCAUUAAUUUGGUGUUGCGGGGAAUUUGGACUGUUACUUUGAAAAAAUUAGAGUGUUUAAAGCAAGCUAACGCUUGAAUACAUUAGCAUGGAAUAAUGAAAUAGGACGUUCGAUCCUAUUUUGUUGGUUUCUAGGAUUGACGUAAUGAUUAAUAGGGAUAGUUGG